CCUACGGGUGGCAGCAGUGAGGAAUAUUGGUCAAUGGUCGGAAGCCUGAACCAGCCAAGCCGCGUGAGGGAGGAAGGUACAGAGUAUCGUAAACCUCUUUUGUCAGGGAACAAAGGCGGGGACGUGUCCCCGGAUGAGUGUACCUGAAGAAAAAGCAUCGGCUAACUCCGUGCCAGCAGCCGCGGUAAUACGGAGGAUGCGAGCGUUAUCCGGAUUUAUUGGGUUUAAAGGGAGCGUAGGCCGGCUGUUAAGUCAGCUGUGAAAGUCCGCGGCUCAACCGUGGAAUUGCCGUUGAAACUGGAGGCCUUGAGUGCACACAGGGAUGCCGGAAUUCAUGGUGUAGCGGUGAAAUGCUUAGAUAUCAUGAAGAACUCCGAUCGCGAAGGCAAGUGUCCGGGGUGCAACUGACGCUGAGGCUCGAAAGUGCGGGUAUCAAACAGGAUUAGAUACCCUAGUAGUC
rnacentral:rRNA from 1 species